CUACGUGCCAGCAGCCGCGGUAAUACGUAGGUCCCGAGCGUUGUCCGGAUUUAUUGGGCGUAAAGCGAGCGCAGGCGGUUUGAUAAGUCUGAAGUUAAAGGCUGUGGCUCAACCAUAGUUCGCUUUGGAAACUGUCAAACUUGAGUGCAGAAGGGGAGAGUGGAAUUCCAUGUGUAGCGGUGAAAUGCGUAGAUAUAUGGAGGAACACCGGUGGCGAAGGCAGGUCUCUGGGCCGUUACUGACGCUGAGGAGCGAAAGCGUGGGGAGCGAACAGGAUUAGAUACCCUGGUAGUCCACGCCGUAAACGGUGGAUGCUGGAUGUGGGGCCCGUUCCACGGGUUCCGUGUCGGAGCUAACGCGUUAAGCAUCCCGCCUGGGGAGUACGGCCGCAAGGCUAAAACUCAAAGAAAUUGACGGGGGCCCGCACAAGCGGCGGAGCAUGCGGAUUAAUUCGAUGCAACGCGAAGAACCUUACCAAGGCUUGACAU
rnacentral:rRNA from 1 species